rnacentral:rRNA from 1 species
CAGCAGUAAGGAAUAUUGGUCAAUGGGUGAAAGCCUGAACCAGCCAUCCAGCGUGCAGGAAGAAGGCCCUAUGGGUUGUAAACUGCUUUUGUCAGGGAAGAAACCUUGGGAUUUACUCCUGAGCUGACGGUACCUGAAGAAUAAGCACCGGCUAACUCCGUGCCAGCAGCCGCGGUAAUACGGAGGGUGCGAGCGUUAUCCGGAAUUACUGGGUUUAAAGGGUGCGUAGGCGGCCAGGUAAGUCAGGAGUGAAAGUUUGCGGCUCAACCGUAAAAUUGCUUUUGAUACUGCCAGGCUAGAAUUAGGAUGAGGUCAGCGGAAUGUGGCAUGUAGCGGUGAAAUGCAUAGAUAUGCCAUAGAACACCAAUUGCGAAGGCAGCUGGCUAGACCUGGAUUGACGCUGAGGCACGAAAGCGUGGGGAGCGAACAGGAUUAGAUACCCUGGUAGUCCACGCCCUAAACGAUGCUUACUCGACGUAUGUCGCUAGACGAUGUGCGUCCAAGGGAAACCGUUAAGUAAGCCACCUGGGGAGUACGACCGCAAGGUUGAAACUCAAAGGAAUUG